rnacentral:lncRNA from 1 species
UCUCCAGGUUUUUCGGCGUGCUUGCCUUGGGUAUUUUUGAAUCACAUUAAGUUUUAAGAGACCCUAAAGCCCUGAUGCCCACUGGGUUACCGACUUACGGCACUAAGUUGGCUGCCUGUGGCUGUUAAUAAACCACGGGGAUUGUUGUCAACAAGGACAGAUACAUCCUUACCUUUCCACACAACUGUAUUUUAGUGUCUGUUUCUACAUGUCUGCACUCUUCCCCACACACCUCAAGAUAGUUUUUCCGGAUACAUUGUGUUUAUUUUUCAGGAACACGGGUUCAAAGGAGAGAGAAACCAGUAUGUAUGUUGCAAAGUUAAAAUACUGUUACAUAAUAGCAAUACAGUUUCAUUCUUAGACAUAUAAAGUUGAGGAGGAAGUAAAAAGUGACAAUGUAAAUAAAACACAUACAGAAUGCUUACACUGGGGAAGAAGCUGUAGUAACUUUAAUGUUGCAACCUGAUGGAUUGCAAGUGUAAAGCCCUGCAACUAAGGAUUUGACUGAGGAAAUUCUUUCAGAUAAAAUGAUAAAUGGAAUUUGAAGUCUGAUGUUUACUCUGAGUAGGUGGGAAAUGCAACAUAAAAGUUAGAAGUCAUUGUUUUAUUUCAUCUGGGUAUAAAUAGUAUAAUUUAUUUAACUUGUUGACUUACCUGUCAUCCUCAGAUUUUGUUAAUCUUACUGAAGCCUAUUUGUAUAGUUGGAAUUUAUUCUAAGUUUUAUUGGCUUCUUUGUAAUACACGAGAAACCCCAAAUUACCGAUUUAUGCCAUUGAGACAGUUGUUGUUUCUGGAGAUGGUGUUUAGGGUUGUAUUCAAACAGAACCUUAUCAAAACAGGUCAAUAUAGUGUGUAUGAUCUGUGUAACACAGGAGUCCUGAAGUUUGUGUUCUCUUUGAUGGUAAAUGUUCAUCUUCUAUUUAAAAGUUGAACCACAGUUAAGACCACGCUGCUAGCAAUUCGAUAUGAGACAGUGUCUUUCCAGAGGAGUAAUCCCUUAAAAACCAACCAAUCAAAUGCAGAGAUAUGCCCCAUCCAACUCUGCUAAAUAGAAGCAAAUAGCUCACUUUAUUGUACAAAGACUCAAGAGGAAGACUUAGAAGCCCACCCCCUCUCCCAUUAAAGAGAAAGUACAGAAACAAAUUAAAGUUAGAGUUGAAAAAAUCAUGACCUGAUUACUAAAUCACAACAUUAAAUGUGACAGUUGUUUUUAGAAGCAUCUUACUUUUAUGCAUUUUGAUAACUUUUGUAUUAAUGUUAGAAAAUUGAAAGAAGGCUUCACUGGAUGUCAGUCAUUACAGAGACUGAAAUAUCUAAAAGUAUAUGUAUAACCAAUUGAAUACUUUCCGCUUUCCUUACAUACUUGAAAUAAGAAAUUUUCUUUUGCUUUUACAAAUACAUCUAUUUGUAAGAAAAUUUUCAUAUGAUUUUGCUUUUUUAUUAUUAAAAAAAGGAAUAUAGCUCAGCCAAAGCGGAGCUGUAUUUGCCCCACACAACAUGACCAAAUACAAAAAAAAAAAAAAAAA